rnacentral:rRNA from 1 species
GGGAAACCUGCCCAGAAGCGGGGGAUAACACCUGGAAACAGAUGCUAAUACCGCAUAACAACUUGGACCGCAUGGUCCGAGCUUGAAAGAUGGCUUCGGCUAUCACUUUUGGAUGGUCCCGCGGCGUAUUAGCUAGAUGGUGGGGUAACGGCUCACCAUGGCAAUGAUACGUAGCCGACCUGAGAGGGUAAUCGGCCACAUUGGGACUGAGACACGGCCCAAACUCCUACGGGAGGCAGCAGUAGGGAAUCUUCCACAAUGGACGAAAGUCUGAUGGAGCAACGCCGCGUGAGUGAAGAAGGGUUUCGGCUCGUAAAACUCUGUUGUUAAAGAAGAACAUAUCUGAGAGUAACUGUUCAGGUAUUGACGGUAUUUAACCAGAAAGCCACGGCUAACUACGUGCCAGCAGCCGCGGUAAUACGUAGGUGGCAAGCGUUGUCCGGAUUUAUUGGGCGUAAAGCGAGCGCAGGCGGUUUUUUAAGUCUGAUGUGAAAGCCUUCGGCUCAACCGAAGAAGUGCAUCGGAAACUGGGAAACUUGAGUGCAGAAGAGGACAGUGGAACUCCAUGUGUAGCGGUGAAAUGCGUAGAUAUAUGGAAGAACACCAGUGGCGAAGGCGGCUGUCUGGUCUGUAACUGACGCUGAGGCUCGAAAGUAUGGGUAGCAAACAGGAUUAGAUACCCUGGUAGUCCAUACCGUAAACGAUGAAUGCUAAGUGUUGGAGGGUUUCCGCCCUUCAGUGCUGCAGCUAACGCAUUAAGCAUUCCGCCUGGGGAGUACGGCCGCAAGGCUGAAACUCAAAGGAAUUGACGGGGGCCCGCACAAGCGGUGGAGCAUGUGGUUUAAUUCGAAGCUACGCGAAGAACCUUACCAGGUCUUGACAUACUAUGCAAAUCUAAGAGAUUAGACGUUCCCUUCGGGGACAUGGAUACAGGUGGUGCAUGGUUGUCGUCAGCUCGUGUCGUGAGAUGUUGGGUUAAGUCCCGCAACGAGCGCAACCCUUAUUAUCAGUUGCCAGCAUUAAGUUGGGCACUCUGGUGAGACUGCCGGUGACAAACCGGAGGAAGGUGGGGAUGACGUCAAAUCAUCAUGCCCCUUAUGACCUGGGCUACACACGUGCUACAAUGGAUGGUACAACGAGUUGCGAACUCGCGAGAGUAAGCUAAUCUCUUAAAGCCAUUCUCAGUUCGGAUUGUAGGCUGCAACUCGCCUACAUGAAGUCGGAAUCGCUAGUAAUCGCGGAUCAGCAUGCCGCGGUGAAUACGUU